rnacentral:rRNA from 1 species
CCUACGGGUGGCAGCAGUGGGGAAUAUUGGGCAAUGGAGGAAACUCUGACCCAGCAACGCCGCGUGAAUGAUGAAGGUCUUCGGAUUGGAAAGUUCUUUUCUAAGGGAAGAAGAAAGUGACGGUAACUUAGGAAUAAGCCUCGGCUAACUACGUGCCAGCAGCCGCGGUAAUACGUAGGAGGCAAGCGUUAGCCGGAAUGACUGGGCGUAAAGGGUGCGUAGGUGGUUUGAUAAGUUGGUAGCGUAACUCCGAGGCUCAACAUCGGCACUACUACCAAAACUGUCGGACUUGAGUGCAGGAGGGGCAACUGGAAUUCCUAGUGUAGCGGUGUAAUGCGUAGAUAUUAGGAGGAACACCAGUGGCGAAGGCGAGUUGCUGGACUGUAACUGACACUGAGGCACGAAAGCGUGGGGAGCAAACAGGAUUAGAUACCCUGGUAGUC